rnacentral:lncRNA from 1 species
GGGGUUGCAAAUGGAUCCGCCGGUUCACCAAUCAUUGAUGGUUCUAAAAUGGCUAAGCCUACAUUACAUGCAAUUGUACCUAGAAUUACUACUGGAAAAAUAUAUAAAAGAUCAUUGGGCCAUGCGGGCUCGCCAAAAUAAUUAUGACCCAUACUCUUAGCCAAUUUAGCUCUUAAUACAGGAUCAUUCAAGUCAGGUUUUUUUGUUAUUGGGAUAGGUGAAUUCUUAUAGAUCCAUCCCCCGAGGGAACUGGACAUGAUAAUUUUUAAUCAUCCAGCUCGAGCAAGAAUAAAAAGAACCAAACGAAUCCAUAUAUCCAUAUAAAAUAUCUAUAUGGUACCGGUAUUUACACAUACACAUAUAUGAUAUAGGAAUGGUUCAAUAUAAGAAAAAUUUGACUGAAUUCUUUUUUAUGGAGUUGCAACUAUCCAUUACAAAACAAAGAAUUCCGUUCUUACAAGUAAAUACUCAAGACCCAAGUAGGCUUACAAAUCAGAUCAUGAUAUGAUCAAGUGCUUUCUGGGUCGUCUCAGACCUUCUAAUUGGUAUUUAUCUCCAAAAUGCUUGGAGAUACACAUACAAGGUUUGCUUGUUACUAAUAUAGUCUAGCCUCUCUUCUUCUUUAGAUCCCUUGUUUCACUCUGAUAGUAUUAUUGAUCGUGUCAAUGUAGAGGAAAUGAAUACAUUUACAUACUAUUAAAUCUUAUAAGUGAACUAGAUAAAAGGGAAUCUUGAUUCCCUUUUAUCUAGUUCACUUAUACUAGAUGAAUGGUUGCCUACUCAUGUAUAACAUGAUUCGGAUCAUAGAAAGAUUCUCUUUAAGCGAACCAGCCUAUCCUCUGUAUAGAACUUACACGGCGAUUGGAACAAAGAGACACAUUCGGUUGUGAAUUCCCAUGUGGCAGGCAUAUAUCUACACAGACCAAUCAAUAGUUCAAGUCACACACUCCCAUAAUCCAUUUUCUCUUCACAAAAUUCCCUUCAAUCCCCCCGUUUAGUUGACAUGAAUGGUUAAAGGGAAAUGUCCAAAUCCAUGUCUUAUUAUUUUCAAUAAUCCAUACUUGUAGCAAUGAAUAUAUAAUCCAUUUUCCUUUCACAAAAUUCCCUUCAAUCCCCCCGUUUAGUUGACAUGAAUGGUUAAAGGGAAAUGUCCAAAUCCAUGUCUUAUUAUUUUCAAUAAUCCAUACUUGUAGCAAUGAAAUACUAUAUAUUCCUACACCAAGUAAUAAACGGUUGAUUACAAAUAGUUAGGAUAUAUUUUGACUUUCUCUAUCUAUAAAGGCCCAGAAAUACCUUUUUUACGUAUCAUUGGAAAGUGCAUUAACAUAAAUACGGCAGUAAGAAGCGGCAAUACAAAAGUGUGUAAACUAUAAAAAUGAGUCAAAGUAGAUUGUCCCACACUAGCACUUCUGCGCAAUAAUUCGACCAAAGGUAAUCCUAUUACAGAAAUAGCGUCAGGGACACCUGUUACUAUUUUCACUGCCCAAUAGCCAAUUUGGUCCCAAGGUAAGGAAUAACCAGUUACGCCAAAAGAUAUGGUUAAUACAGCAAGAACCACACCUGUAAC